UACGUAGGGGGCAAGCGUUGUCCGGAUUUAUUGGGCGUAAAGAGCUCGUAGGCGGUUUGGUAAGUCAGGUGUGAAAUCUCCACGCUCAACGUGGAGGGGCCACCUGAUACUGCCAUGACUGGAGUCCGGUAGAGGAGUGUGGAAUUCCCGGUGUAGCGGUGAAAUGCGCAGAUAUCAGGAGGAACACCGAUGGCGAAGGCAGCUCGCUGGGACGGUACUGACGCUGAGGCGCGAAAGCGUGGGGAGCAAACAGG
rnacentral:rRNA from 1 species